UUUACACAGUUUUGAAGCGCA
rnacentral:piRNA from 1 species